GGUGCUCCCACCCAACACAGCACAGAGCAGAAGAGGUGCUCCCACCCAGCACAGCACAGAGGAGAUGCUCCCACCCAGCACAGCACAGAGGAGAUACUCCCACCCAGCACAGCACAGAGGAGAUACUCCCACCCAGCACACCACAGAGGAAGUGCUCCCACCCAACACAGCACAGAGGAGGUGCUCCCACCCCAGCACAGAGCAGAGGAGGUGCUCCCACCCCAGCACAGAGCAGAGGAGGUGCUCCCACCCAGCACAGCACAGAGGAGAUGCUCCCACCCAGCACAGCACAGAGGAGAUACUCCCACCCAGCACACCACAGAGGAGGUGCUCCCACCCACCACAGCACAGAGGAGGUGCUCCCAGCACAGCACAGAGGAGAUGUUCCCACCCCAGCACAAAGCAGAGGAGGUGCUCCCACCCAGCACAGCACAGAAGAGGUGCUUCCCAGAGGGUGAAGAAGGGAAUUUAAGAACACUUCACCCAUCUGGAACUAGGAAAUGCCGUGGGAGCAGACAUAGCCAAGCAUCUGUGGUAAGAAGCGUCCCACCCUUCCUUCAGGCAGAGCUUGGGACCUUAGGAGCUUAGGAGCUGCUAGACUGUAGGACCCUCGUUGAUGAGAAGCAGCAGGUUAGAGGUGGGCAUGCUGGAAACAGCAGGGAAUGUCAUGUGUCCAACCCAAUACCAGGAUUUUUCUUAGAAGGCAGGAAAAAACUGUACAAAACCAGAGAAACAAUUUUCAAGAUUCUACGGGGGAAAUUUCCACAUAUAAUUUCCAUCCUCUACUUACAUAAAAGUAGAGAUUGCCAGAAACCUCUGUGUGCCUAACACCCAGCUUCAGUGCACAUCAGCCCUUGGCUGCACUGUUUCAGAAAAAAGAAGCACUUACAAAGCUCUGGUUUUGAGGCAUAGUCUCUGACGUUUCCUGCGACCCCCACCCAUCGAUCCUCCCUGCAGCCCAUCUCAGCUCAGGAGAGCACUGUGUUCACAGUGACGACCUUGAGUUUGUAGAGAAAACAACACUGUUCAGCGUGGUUCUCAAGAGGUCGGAGAAGUGGGUAAUCCAUUAAAAAAAAGACUUCUAAGAAAAUGCUUCAAAGAUUUGAUGCCAAAAGUGGCGGCUGCUUGGCACUUAUCUCCAUGCAGAGGGCGUCACAGUAACGGAGGCACCCUGUCCUCCUUCCCUGCAGAGAGGGGGCCAGUUGCAGCUGCGGAUUCCACACUCUUCCUGCCAUUACGGUUUUGGGCAUUAGUGCCAGUUUUCUGGGUUAUCUCUGACAAGCCUAAGGUUAGUAUUUACGAAAAAAUAAAACAAAGCAACCCACCA
rnacentral:lncRNA from 13 species